rnacentral:rRNA from 1 species
GUCUAUAGCCAUGACACCCUGAAUGUGCCUGAUCUCAUCUGAUCUCGAAAGCUAAGUAGGGUCAGGCCUGGUUAGUACUUGGAUGGGAGACCACCUAGGAAUACCAGGUGCCAUAAGAG